AUUGAACGCUGGCGGCAUGCCUUACACAUGCAAGUCGAACGGCAGCACGGGUGCUUGCACCUGGUGGCGAGUGGCAAACGGGUGAGUAAUAUAUCGGAACGUACCUUAUUGUGGGGGAUAACGCAGCGAAAGCUGUGCUAAUACCGCAUAAUCCCUAAGGGGGAAAGCGGGGGACCGUAAGGCCUCGCGCAAUUAGAGCGGCCGAUACCUGAUUAGCUAGUUGGUGAGGUAAAGGCUCACCAAGGCAACGAUCAGUAGCUGGUCUGAGAGGACGAUCAGCCACACUGGGACUGAGACACGGCCCAGACUCCUACGGGAGGCAGCAGUGGGGAAUUUUGGACAAUGGGGGCAACCCUGAUCCAGCAAUGCCGCGUGAGUGAAGAAGGCCUUCGGGUUGUAAAGCUCUUUUGUCAGGGAAGAAACAGCAGCUCUAACACAGUAUGCGAAUGACGGUACCUGAAGAAUAAGCACCGGCCAACUACGUGCCAGCCGCCGCCGUAA
rnacentral:rRNA from 1 species